rnacentral:lncRNA from 1 species
GAACAUUCUUUUCAACUUUUGGAGCUCAAACUGCAAUAAUAUGCAAUUCAAUCAUUAUUAUUUUCAUAUGGGCUAACGAAGGUGAAACAGAACUUGAUCCACCAGCAUAUCGGUUAGGUUGAGUGAUCAUAAAUCACUCGAAAAAAGUAUUGCUAUAUAUCCCAACUUCUCUUGUAAUUAAUCCAAAAUCUUCCUUCUGUUUUCUGCAGAAAAAAUAUAAACUAUUUUUCAACAAAAGUAUCAGAAUUUGAGAAACUCAUAAGGAGGAUGAUUUUGGAGAGCAUGGGUCUUGACAAUUACUUGGAUGAACACAUGAGCUCGACUACUUGUGUUCUUAGAGUAAUGAAAUAUCAAGUGCCUCAAAUUACUGAACCAACGUAUACCUCAAAGCCCCACACAGAUAAGAACUUAAUUACUAUAUUGUAUCAAAAUCAAGUUGAUGGGCUGGAGGUACAAACCAAACAUGGUGAGUGGAUUGGUGUGGAACUCUCCCAUGAUCACUCUUUUGUCAUCUUGAUUGGGGAAUCCUUUAGAGUAAGUCACUGUUCUUUCUGCAUUCCAUAAGUUUAUUUGAUAAUAUAUUUGCUCAAGAUUUGAAGUUUAAAUUCUAGUUUAAGUAAAUUCAAAAUAUACGGACGUACAAAACAUAAGCACUUCCGUUUCUUAUUGGAAUUGAUUUCUGCAGGCAUGGACGAAUGGUCGAUUGCACCCGCCGUAUCACCGCGUAAGGAUGAGUGGAAGCGAGGCAAGGUACUCUGCUGGAUUGUUUUCGUUUUUCAAAGCAGGUUAUAAAACCAAAACCCCUGAAGACUUGAUCGAUGAAGAUCAUCCCUUGCUUUACAAGCCAUUUGAUUAUUUUGAAUUCCUCAAGUUUUUUUCGGCCUGGGCACCUAAGGCUCAGCCUAAUCAGUGUGCUUUAAAGGCUUAUUGUGGUGUGUGAUAUUCGUAAUCUUAAAUUAAAGCAACCUUGUGAGGUCGCUGUUUUUUUUUACUUUGUAAUAACUAAUAAUGAAAGAGUGAAUGUUGGUUCGGUAUAAUGUAAGUCAUAACUAGAGUUGUUCAAGUUAUAAUGUUAAUAAUAAUAAUAAUAAUAAUAAUAAUAAUCUUAGCUUGUUUAAAGAAAAGCUUAUAAGCGUAUAUUUACCUUUUAAAAAAACGAAACCAAAAAAAACUUUUAACUCUAUUUGGAAAGAAAAUUCUACACUAACUAAAAAUAUAAACAACAAACAACAUCUUUGACAUCAUCUAUAUCUUCUGGGCAUGAUCGAUUUUAGUCAAUCAUGAUCAAUUUGUCAACAUGGUCGAUUUUGAUCAAUCAAGGUUGAUCAUGGUCAAUUUUAUUAUGAAACUGUUUUGACACGGACAAAUUUUUUCUUGGAUUUUACCUUGUCCAACUAGUUAAAAAACAAAUCCUCCAAAUGUUCCAUGCUAGUCUUAUAUAUUUACUGAAAGACAUGUCUUCUAGUUAAUACCCACAUAUAGAAAUGUUGGUUUAUCAUAACGAUAAGGAUAAAUUUGAAAAACAAUGAAGGUUUUAAAAUACCUAUAGUUUCUAGUAGAUUGAUAGUAUAACUAUUUUCAUUGAUCUUUCGUAUUAUGUUGUGAGAUCCACAUUUAUGUUGGGUUUCUCAAUACACAUAAUCACAACGAAAAUAAUAAUUUUAAGAUUUUUUAGAAGUCUCAUGGAUCCUAUUAGAAAAAGUAUGAUUCUUUAGGACUUGAGUGAAGAUUACCUGAAAAUCAUUUCUUCUUUCUAGGGUUUGAUAAACUCUUCAAGUUUAGGUUGUCAUAAAUUACAAGUCAUCCAAUUUUCUGGUUUUGAAUGUUAGAGAAUAAUAUAAAUUAUAUAUUGGGACCUCACCUAACAUCUUAAGAUUUUGGAUUGAGAUGGAUCUUUGAUGUGAUAAUAGAGCUAGCCAUUAUGACUAAACGAUAACAAAUUUGAAAUUAAUUAAUAGCGCAAGGUAGUGUAGACUUAUGCAAGUUUCAAACUCAAUGGACUUUCACUUGAGGGGAUGUGUUAGAGAAUAAUAUAAAUCAUAUAUUAGGCCCCUACUUAACAAUUUAAGCUUUUGAGUUGGGAUAAUUCUUUGACAUCUAACCAUAAUCCAAAUGAAUCAUCAGAUUAGAAAUCUCCUAAACCAUUCAAGAGAGAGGAAUUGUUAUGCCUAGAGUGCUAACUCUUUUAUUAAUUUCUCUACCUAUAUACUUACGUUUAGGUAUAAAAAAAAAGUAUGAGACAUAACAUUUUAUUUAUAUAGAAAACUUGAUAACCUUAUCAAUGGUAAAAUAUCACUUUGUCUCCUAAAAACAAUAUCACAUUUUAUUUUAAGACAGCCAUUAGAGAUUUAUGCAAUCAAAUUCUCACUUGAUUUUUUUUAGGUCUAGAAUUGCAAUUCCGUAUAUAAAUUACACUCUACUCCUCGAUUUCUAAUUUAUCUACAAUCUAGUCCCAUUUGAUUAAUCAUCCUAGUUAAUUUCUUAUCAAUAAUUCUUAAUAUGUAUGACGCAUUAGAUUCAUAAUAUAUUGGCUCAAACAUAAAACAUAAUCUUAUUCAUGAUAGGGUUAAAUGGAUUAAAUAAUUUAACUUAUUAUCAAUUCAACAAAUUGAUUGAUUUAUAUUUAAAAAUAAAGUGCAGUGUCAUAACCUAAUUUCUGACCCACACGUUUUUUUUUAUAGAUUUCAAAAAAACUAAAAAUUUCCAAAAGAUAUAUAUUUUCAAUAAAUUUAGCCAAUUUUAAAUGCUUUAUUAUUUUUAUCACUUUUUUAUUAUUAUUAUGCGUCAAGUUAAGAUAGAAAUAAUAAUAAAAAAGAACAUAAAAUAAAAAGAGAAUAAAAUAAAUAGAAUAAAAAGAAUAAAAUAUUAUUGGGGAUAAAAUGGGACUAAUAAUUGAAUUUAACAAGCAGAGAAUUGAGUUGAAAAAAAGGUAAAAAAAAAAAAUCAUGAAUAAUUUAGGAUGUAAUUGAGAACAUGAUUGAAAAGAAAAUUAAGAAAAAAGGUUUGGUUUGGUGUUAAUUAAAAGAAUUAAAGAACCAAAGAUGAAUUCAUAGCAAGCAACCAAAUUUAAAGGUUCAAUUAGGGAUGAAAAAAAAGCUUUAGGGUAAAAGUGACAAAAAUUACAUAAUUUUAAAAACCAAGUACUAAACUGUAUAAAUUCCUAACAAGAAGAUCCUUAAGAUUGUGAAGGAGAACUUUGACUUUAGGCUUGGGAUGAUGACCAUCAACCUGAAACGUGAUGAUAAUAUGUUCUUGAAGAUAGCAACAUACAAAUAUUCUGGAAGGGAUGACCCAAACUUCAUUUAGAAGGUUGUCAAGCCCCUGAGAAACUCAAGCUUAAAGAGUUAUUUAUCAUAUCACUAUUGUUUGAUGUUUGUUUUAUUGGUACUUGAUGAAUAAUUUGGCUUGUUUUCUAGCUGCUAGUCUAAAAAAGAAGAAGAAGAAAAUAAUUUAUUUUAUGGGUUUGAAUUUAUUUUUGGAUGUUCUGUAAUAUUUUUUAUAGAUGUAAUAUAAUUUAAGUUGGGUCAAUUUGAUCUUAAAUAGGCCUAACUAAUGUGAAUGACACCUUUUAGAUCUUUUUUUAGGUAUGGUCAAAAGUGUAAGACCAAAGAUCAAUUUUUACCAUCUAUACAAGUCUAAAGCCUAUUUUUAAAAAUGGUAUUUUUGACAAGUCUUCUUGUUUUAGAGAUCGAUGUUGAAUUCUUCAUGAAUAGUCUUUUCAACAAGUCUCUUUUUAAGAGUUUUGUUGUUGCUCAUUUUUGCGCCCCAUGUGCUAAAGAUGGAGCGUACCUCUCUUGAACCAAAUACAGGAGUUUAGUUCAUGACUUUUGAGGAAUUGACAAAAACAGAGAAGAAAGAAAUGUUUUUCGAACCCUAUUUCAAUUGUUUUCUACUAUUUUUAUCUUUCCCCUUCGUUGCCGAAAUCGUCAGGAUUCUUAGAUUAGUUAGGAGUCUUCGUGAUGAUAAACUUGUCCUUUCUUUAUCUGGUCUUUAAAUUUAAAUAAAUCCCUCAGAAUUUGAAUUAAAAAAAUGAUUCUGCUGUUGUCGCAAUUCUGUUGUAAUACUAAUUUUGUUUCGACUUAGGCUUUGAUUCUGACUUGACUUCGUGCAAUAUCUGGCUAUUCCAACUAUACGUUGUCAUUCAUGACAUGUUAAAGAGUUGAUUCGCACCUUUAUUGGGUCCUUCAGCCUGCUAUUCUUAGGUCAGACUCUCAGUCGUAUGAGGAUGCUCGGCAUUGUUAGUUUCCAAAUCAGAUCAGAAGACCCUUUUUGACCAACCAGAUUGCGACUGAAUUCUAUUCUUCAAAAAAAUUUUAUCUAACUUUGAAUCCUUCAUGAAAGUUGUAGUCUUGUACGUGUAGAUGAAUUUGGGUUUGUGAAUCGCCAAAUUUCGAUGUCAUAAGCUCAAGAUAUUCACAUUUGAAUAUCUAAUGUGAAAGUAGAGAAUCCUAUCACGAGAAGGAUCCUGACCUGAGUUUGCAGGUCUGAUUCGAGGGACCCGAUUUAAUGUUUCAAGGAUUUAUCGGGUUAAUUAAGGACCAAUUUUAAACUUUUGAAAAUUAAUUGGUUUCGUUGAAGGAAUUAAGAACAGGGACUGGAUCAAAAAACAUCAUAAUCAACUGGCUUUGCAAAAAAAAAAAAAAAAGAGAACAUGUGACUAUAAUAUAGAACAUCAAGGCUAAUAUUAAGGAAGCAAUAUGUCAAGGAGAUAAUUACUGAAUCAUAUAUGUUAAGAAAAUAAUUACUGCAAUAUAAAAGACCAUAUAUAUAGGAUUUGGUUAGUGCUGGUUAUGGAAAAUAAUUACUGCAAUAUAAAAGACUGUAGAUAAAGGAAUUGUUGGUAUUGGUUAUAGAAGACAAUCUCUGCAAUAAUUAUUGUAAUAUUUUCUUGAAUAGCACGGGUAAAAAUUUCUAUAUAAAUGAACCUGUAGCUAUAUGCACAUGAGGGAUUUGUUUAGAGAAAAAAAGUGAGGGGAACACAAAAUAAAAAACCCUAAAUCUAAACCCUCUCUAAAGGAGCCGCGACCCCAAAAAGGAGGGCUAAGCGAGAGAGCCCCCAGACAAGCCUCCCUUCUCCCUUCAGCCGCAGACUCUCCCUUCCCUUUCUCUACACAGAAGUCACCUCUCAUUUCCCUUUGCCAGCCAGCCAUUUCAGCUCCCUUUUCUUCUCCCUUUCCCCGCUGGUACUCAUUUCAUCUCUCUGACAGACCCCUCUCUUUUGGCCAAAACCAGAGAAACAAAGUCUCACCGAGAGCCCCCGUAAACACCAGCCCUCACUCCCUUUUCUUACCGUGAGCAUGCACCAUCCAUAGCAGCAGUAACCAUCUCUUCUUAGUAGAGACAAGACGGACGCAAAUGAGAGGAAGGACGAACAGAAAAAAAAAAGGGGAGAACAUAGAGAGAGGGAGGGAGGAAGACAAAAAAUAAAGAGGGAGGAAAAGGGGAAGCACCGGAAAGAAAACUAGAGAACAAACGGACAAAGAAUUAACACAACAGGAAGAGCCACAGAGAGAACAAAACACAUAUAUAUACGAAGAAACAAACCCAGAAAAAACAUGAAAAACCAGAGAGAACGAACGAGCAGAAGGAAAGAACAUAAACAGACGAAAACACAGAGAGACCAACCAGCACUCCUUCGCCAUCGCCUUCGUCCCUUCGUUUUCGUCUCCAGUUUCUUCUCCUCCAGCGGUGCAACUUUUUCUACUUUUUCUUCCAUAGGCACGGUGAGCUCUGGAAAGCAAUAACAGCACCUCCAUUUUAUGCACUAGCGGCAUCCUUGUUGUAACCCCAUAAAAUAUAUAUAUAUAAAAUAUAUAUAUAUAUAUAUAUAUAUAUAUAUAUAUAUAUAUAUAGCCGGAAGAAAUUAGAAAAAUAAUAAGAGGUGGGAGCGCUCAGAAAAGAAUCAGAAAAAUUGACUAAGGAGGUUCGAAAAUACAAGGAGUGAAAUUGUUUACAAUUGUUUACAGUAUAUACUUGAAUGAGGAGAGCCCUGUUGGAAGAGAAAAUUUAAUUUGAAGAGAAAAGGCCAAAAUUGGAUGUUUAUGGACUCAUUUGGAUUUUAUUGAAGGUUUAAUUGAAUUUAUAGAGGUUUUGAUUGCAAGAAAAAUUGAUUUUUAAGUCAAUUUGGGCUUUAAUUAGAAGAAAUUUAAGUUCUGGGGCCAAAAUAUAUUUUUUAGGAAUUUAUUAGGUCAAAUCAGGGGCUUAAUUGCAUAAAUAUUGAAGUUUAAGGGCCAAUUGGGGACUUAAUUGAAGAAAUCCGAAACCAAGGACCAAAUUGGAAAAGGCGCGUAAGUAUAGGGGCUGCAAUUAACAAAAUCCGGGGGCCAAAUUGAAGAAAUUGAAAGUUUAAUGGCCAAUUAAGGAUGAAAUUGCCUAAAUCCGAGACCAAGGACUAUAUUGCAAAAGGCGCGUAACUUUGGGGCCGAAGGUGAAGUUAUGUCGAGACUAAAUUGCAUCAAAUCAGAAGUUUUAGGGUCAAUUAGGGAAUAAUAUUGAACGAAACUGAAAGUCGGAGGACUCAAUUGAAAAUUGGCAAAGAAAUCCCUACGGCGCCGUUUUGCAUUUAAGAAAGGGGGCAGGAACCAGGCGACGCGUCACCCGGUACUGUUCAUUUUCUUCCCCACCAAGCUGCCCGAGUGGCCGACUUCCAAGCAUGUUUUCUGCCUCGUUUGGCCCCCAAAUCCGACAAAGCAUGCACCAACAUGUCCACCUGGAACCCCUUUAUCCCGGGGAGUGGUCCGGUCGGGUCAAAAAGGUUUGGAACGGCUCCGUUUUUUGGCCCAAAUCGUGCACCUCGGGCAGUCUGCAAAUUUGGCAGUUCGAGGUGCACACUUUGAACCAACGGUUUGAAUUACUCAAGUCGAAUCAAGGGCUGGGACGUUUUUCCCAUUGAAGACAAGAUUACCCUCUUUCCGGCCCUAUAAAUAGGAUUAAUUUUCAUGCUCAAAGGGUUGGCAAAGGAGAGCUCAAAGUCGGCACAAAAUAAGCUUUCCUGCCCGGUUUCCUGCAACCAGCCCUCAUUUCCAGCUUCUUUUCCCAAACCAGAGGAGCCUCCUCUGCAUUCCCCCAUCUCCCUUUCACUCGCCCCUCUUUUUGACAGAACAGUCUCCCCUCACUCCCUCAUUUCCAUCGCCAGGUCUCUCCUCCAUUCGGCCCCAGCAGCGGCUGAACAGCAGCAGUAACGUCCCUCUCCAUCCCACCGACAGGAGAGGUAGNNNNNNNNNNNNNNNNNNNNNNNNNNNNNNNNNNNNNNNNNNNNNNNNNNNNNNNNNNNNNNNNNNNNNNNNNNNNNNNNNNNNNNNNNNNNNNNNNNNNNNNNNNNNNNNNNNNNNNNNNNNNNNNNNNNNNNNNNNNNNNNNNNNNNNNNNNNNNNNNNNNNNNNNNNNNNNNNNNNNNNNNNNNNNNNNNNNNNNNNNNNNNNNNNNNNNNNNNNNNNNNNNNNNNNNNNNNNNNNNNNNNNNNNNNNNNNNNNNNNNNNNNNNNNNNNNNNNNNNNNNNNNNNNNNNNNNNNNNNNNNNNNNNNNNNNNNNNNNNNNNNNNNNNNNNNNNNNNNNNNNNNNNNNNNNNNNNNNNNNNNNNNNNNNNNNNNNNNNNNNUGUGGGCCGUUAGUUUUGUUGCUGGGCCCGGCUGAUCCUGGCCCAGCUCUGCCUUCCGGGUAGGGUCCGGCCCAGAAGAAAAAUACCAGAUUUUUGUUGGGCCAGGAUCGGCCCAACACAUUUUAGGGCUGAGUCCGGCCCAGUUCGUUGGGCCGGCCCAGCCCAACCCAAUUAUAUAUUAUAUGUUAUGUAUAUUAUAUUGUGUUUGUAUUAUUUAUAUCUAGAUAUAUACAUAGAAAAAUUAAUUAAUUUCGUCGAAAAUUAUUCCAAAAAAUAUGUGAUUUUCUGCAAGUUCAUUACUGUAUUUUGAUCAAUAUCGGUUUGUAUUUUUAUACUGUAAAGAUACAAAUCCGGUAUUCAAAUACCCGGUUUUCGUCAAGACAUAAAAAAAUAAAAUAAAAUAUUUUAAAAAUGUUUUGUUUUCAUGCAUACGGCCUAGUCUCUCCAAUAUAUAUAUAUAAAUAUUAUAACAUCAUAUUUUUCACACAACAAAGAAAAUUUCAAAACAAUAUAUGUAUUAGCAUGCAUUUUGGCUUUAAUAACCCGUUUAUUCUUCACACAACAAAGAAAAUUUCAAAACAAUAUAUGUAUUAGCAUGCAUUUUGGCUUUAAUAACCCGUUUAUUCAAGCCAUGAGAACUAGGCCAAUAUUUCAAAAAUUCAAAAAAAAUCUUUUUGUCUUCUUUUAGUAUUUGGGAUUACGAAUUUAUACGUAAAACGUAUUCCUGAUAUUAAAAAUAUGGUUUUUUUACAUAGACAUUAGAACGGUUAGGUUUUACCCGAUAAGAUAAGGACCUCCUUAUUGAGGAGGACUUUUCUUGAACCAUAGACGGACCAACAACUAGGAAACACAACGAGACCUUGAAUUUUAUCGGACACAUAAACAAUGCAGCUUACCUUAGGUAGGGCGUAUUUGGGGUGCUAAUACCUUCCCUUCACGCAACCAGUCCCCGUACCCAAUCUCUGAGACCAGUUAGGGUUCCUAGUGACCAAAAUACUAGGUGGCGACUCCCAUUCCAUUUUCUACCAACAAAAGACAAUAUUUUCUUGUCUCCCCACAUUUGCCAGAUAGAUACCAUACACACCUCCUAGAUUUUAAAAGUGAAAUUUUCGCCGCGACGCCGCGCACCCGCGACAGUCCUCACCAGUAGACCAACGGUGCAACUUAUUCUUCGCCAGCACAACAAUCUCUUCACUGACGCUUCUUAACAGCCCAGUCGUCUUGCACCGGCUACAACCAUGGAGUCAUUUUCAGCCCCGACAGCCAUCACUAACUCACAGCCCCUUAACCAUCGAGAGCAAGUAUUAGCCGAAGCUGCCCACAGGAAAACAGAGAAAGAGCAAGAAAACACAGAGGGAAGAACAUCCAUUCCGCCAGCACAUCACACUUUCAUCAUCGUCUUCGCCAUCUCCAGAGAGAGCAUCGGCAAGAAGAGACAGAAUUAGUGAUAACCGGUCGUGCGCAAGAAACUGCAGCAUCAUCAUCUUCGCCCAUCAGCAAUCAGGUAAGCAUCUUGCACUCUUUCCACUUUUGCAAAUUUAAUUACACGGUUACUGUGCAUGCUUUUUUUACUGUUCAAGUGAAUUAUAAUUCACUUGAACAGUAACUAAGGAUGCAUUUUUUUUCCCAGCCAGGUCACUGGUCUCGGCGAGUGACCCGGCUACGCUGGCUGGGUCCAGCCCAGCCACAUGGGUCGAGCUGGACCCAACCCAAAAAAAAUAAUAUAAAAAAAAACAGAGAGAGAGAUUUAUGAUUUUCUGGCAGAUUUAUUUUAUGGUCUAUUUUUUUAUAUAUAUUGUAAAAAAUAUUAAUCUCGCAUUUAGAAUACCUGGUUUUCAAUGCAAAUGCGGUAAAUAUACAUAUAUAUAAAAAAUGUUUUCAUGUAUACGACCAAUACCCUAACAUAUUUUAAAUUUCUUAAAAAAAAAAACAAAUAUUCAAAGUUUUAAAAAAAUGUGCUUUAGCAUGGAUUUCUUAAAUAAAAAAAAUUAUUUUCUUGCAUUCUGGAUUUUACAACAUGUUUGUAAAACUCCAAAGGGUGUUGACCAAUAUUCCAAAAAAUACAAAAAUCUUAUUUUUGAGAGAAUUCAUCUAUUAUUUACUGUUAAUGUUUGGAUAAAGAAAUCCCAAAUGAAUGAAUAUCUAAAAUAUUAUUGGGAAUAACUUGUUAUUAUUUGCUGUUAAUGUUUGGAUAAAGAAACCCUAAAGGGUUAAUAUCCAAAAUAUUUUUUUAGGAAUAAUAAGUCAUCACACAUCCUUGAAAGAAACCUCGAUUAUAAUUGAGGACAUUUUAUUUUUUUUUACUCCACGGUUUACGAGCCGUGAGAGUAUUAAACACCAAGGCAAAAAUAGGCUUUUAAAGCGCUCUGAAUUUCCUUAGAUUUCUGAAUUUUUAUCCCUCUUCCUUGCGAUUUACGAGUCGCGAACACUUGAAAUACUAAGGGAAAAAUGAGUUUUUAAAGCAUAUUGAAUCUCCUUAGAUUUCUAUCUUAGCUAUCUUUUAAUUCAUAGGUUAUAAAUUUAUUUCAAAUCAAACACAGAUUUUAAGAGAUCUGCAUCGGUUCUUCUUGGCACUCUGUAGACAUAUCUAAAGGUAUGAUCUAUAUUAGCCAAGGGUUCUCGCUUUUAGACUUUGAACCCAAGCUCAUUCAUCAUAGCAAACAUAUCAUAGGAAAACUGAUUAGAGAACACUAACACCAUAGCAAGGCAAACCAAACACCUAGCAGCUUACCUUAGGUAGGGCGUACUAGGGGUGCUAAUACAUUUCCUUUACGUAACCAGUCCCUUGCCUUAGAAUAUCUGAAAGACCAGUUAGGUUUCCUAGUAACCAUAAUACUAGGUGGCGACUCCCUUAUUCACAAAAAAAAACCCGACAUGAAUCCCCGCUCCCGAGAAGGGUCACCGCGACGCCGCGCUCCGCCGCGAGGGUGCGACAGGAUGGCGACUGCACUAGGGACCCUUGGACUAGGUUUGGUAAUUUGUUUGUUUAUGUUAUGUAUUGUUGGUUUUUGUUUCUUUAUAUGAAUGGUUUACUUUGUUCCAAAGCUUGAGCAUGCAUCUUUACAUCUUGUCAUACAUGGUAUAUCGGAUAUGGAUAAGAUCUUGUUGCAUCCUGUCAUGCAUCACCUUUAUUUUUAUUAUCUUUUUGAGAGCACACACAUUAAACUUUAAGUUAAGUUGGGAACUAGUAGCUUGCCUUAUGACUUGAGUCAAGGUUUAAGUUUGUGUAAACCCCAACUCUUUGCUGAGUGUUUAGACUGAUAGUUAUUGGUGCACGUGCCAUUCCAUUAUCUGUUGAGCCCCCAUAUUGCCUUUACGAGGGUGAUCACUGGACAACAAAAGACCCUCUUUAGAGAUCAAGUAGUGAACAUACCCUAUGUCUCACAUGAAAGAACUAGAACCCAUCCUUAGGGUGUACGCUCCAUAAUAUCUUUUGCAUCAAAACAAAUCCCAAGGCAUUAUUAAUUCCAGGACUUGUGAACGAAAUGGCCACCACUGCUAAAUUUUCCAUCAUGGAAUAUGGGAAAAAUUUUGAACUGUCAUAAUUGACUGAGAGAGACUGCCGUAGAAGUGAUGCUAAGAAGUUAUCGCCAAUCAAGAACCUGAAUUGCAUUAUGAAUGAGGUGAACAAGUUAAUAGCUCACUUCCAAAAUGUGGAUGACAUUGCAUUUCUUAGGAAAUAUGGACGCUUGGUAGAGAUUGCAAAGGUAGAAGUUUUACACCCAGCUGUACGAGCUUUGGUUCACUUUUGGGAUCCGGAUUACCGAUGUUUUUCUUUUGGGAGCAUAGACCUAUAUCCUACUAUGGAAGAAAGAAUAUGGGAUGUUGACUGACUUUCCAAACUAUCCAUAUAAGAUCUAUUUUACUUUGAGAUCUGACAAGGUCAUCCCUGGACUGUCAAAGCUACUUAGGAUCUUUAACUUGGAAAGGUCUUUGGAGAAGAAUGCUACCGGGCUGAAAUGGAAGUUUCUAGAAGUUGAACUAGAAAAGAAGUCAGGAUCAGAAAAAGAGAGAUUGAUUGCCUUAGGCAUAUUUGGCCUUGUGUUGUUCCCAAGGAAAACAGGUGUAAUAAGUUUGGAUGCCGCUGCUGCUUAUAUAAAGUAUGAGAACACAUAAAUCAAUCUGGUGGCUGCCAUUUUAGCUGAAACCUUCCUAACGCUUAACCAUUGUAGGAGGACCGGAAAAGGAGCAAUGAGGUGUUGCACAUAGUUGCUGUAUAUCUGGAUGGUUAGCCAUAUUGAAACGAAAAAGCCUAUUUUCAACAUUUUUUGUUGGUUCAACAAAAGACCCCUAAUGAUAGUGGAAGAAGAAGAAUUGGGAGCUUUAGACAACCAAGGUUGGGUAGGCAAACUAGAAAAUUUUCCUAAUAGUGAUUUCAAGUGGAGAGCCCCAUGGGUCACAACAAUGAAUGUCCUGAUGAGCUGUGGGCAAAGACAUUGGGUGCCAAUGGUAGGGAUUACAGGUUACGUGAGUUAUGCUCCUGCCCUUGUGGUAAGGCAACUUGGGGGCAUGCAGUGUGUUCCAAGGACUAUGGGAAUUGCUCAAUUCUACGAGUUGUUUAAAGACCUCAUUGCACAAGAAGUUUUGGAGAUCAUCAAACAAGAUUGGAAGCAUCUGGUUUUGGUUAAGAUGGAAGGUUUGAGGGAUCCAAGUGCAAGUGAAGAAUACACCAGAUGGAGAGACUUAUCUACUUUAGCCAUGCCUUAUGUAGGAGUCAGAUCUUCCCAAACUAUGGAAGAGCCGAUUAAAAGGAAAAGGAUCAACAAUGAAGAAGAACUGAGAGGAAAAAUGGAAAAACUUUAGAUAGAGUUUAGCAAAAGCAAAAAAGACAAAGCAAUGUUAGAAGAAAUGGUAUUGGAAGGAGAUAAAAAGAGAGUCUUUCUAGAUGAGCAAAUACAGUCUAGAGAUGCAAGAAUAACAAAGCUUGAGUUAAAGUUGGGUAAGGAAGAAGAUUGCUAGGGAAAAAAGUGAGAAGGAGCUAGGAAGGAUGAGUUUGGAUUGGAUGCAAAGGUGCUCUGAACUUGAAGCAUUGGAGAUUGACUUUAACAAUUGCCAAGGAAACGCAGAAUAUUACCAAGAAAAAUUUGAACAAGUUCAAUUUAAACUUAUGGAUAGGAUUGGGAAGUAUGAAGAUUUAACAAGAAAUAUGUGGAGUUGGAAAGCUGUUUGGCGGGGAUUGCAAAAGAAGAAAGUAAGAGGAAAGGUUUUGAGGCUGUUGAAGCAGAGUUAGCGUUUAAGAAGAAUGAGAUAAAAGUUCUGAGGAUAAAACUUGGCACGGAACACGAAAAGGUGACGUAUUUGGACAAGAAGCUAGCAGCAAUGGAAAAACACAAGGAUCAAAUCAACACCAACAAUGCUGCUUUGAACAAAAUCAAUAUGUCGCUCAUUGAAAAGAUGACCAAGACAGAUGAGCAAAUGGACGAACCUACUGCACCUGCUCGGAUUAUUAGAAUUAAUGCGUGAAAUGUGGGAGGGGACAUCAUUCGCUAUCGCUGAAGUUUAGCUGAAACCGAUGUCUUUUUGGAAAAAAUUGAGAACCACGGCUUUACCUUCUUACCUUUAGCUAGAGAGGUGGUGGAAGAAAUAUACUAGUGAAUUUUGUAUUUCUAAAAAAAUAUAAUGAACUUAUCAAGCAUUAAUGAGAAGGGACAUUGACCCACCUUUUAUGCAAAAUCUAUCUCUUGGCGAAAAUGAUUCAAGCUUACAACUCAAAAGGUAUUACUCUUAACAAGCAAUGUAACAAGAUGCUUAUGAGGUGGUGGCCAUCAAUCGUUCACGGGAAGGCUGUAUCCAUAUCCAAUAUACAAAACAUUCUUAUCAUAAUCAUGCAUUAUACCAUGCAUAUGUGCACACAUUUGAAAUCUGUAAAGAACUUUUUCUUCAUAAAGCGCAUGAUCUCAUAGCAUUUGAAAUCUUUUACUUAAAAGAACUUUUUUAUGCAUGACUAAGGAAUCAUAAUAUGCUCAAGAUGACUCCCUCAAUUCCCUAGUUGGAGAGAACCAAAUCAAAUCUAAACUUGACAUAUAUUUGCACACGACACUGGGGGGCAAGAAGUGCACAUAGGGGUACAUAAUGAAUCAAAGCCCAACAUUAAGGAGUAUCAUCAUGAAAACCUCUGAAACACCUUGAUGAGAAUUGCAUAAAAAAAUAUGAUGAUUGCAUUAAAAGUUUCAGUUUUCAUGAACAAAACUAGAUCCUUUGAGUAUUCCGGUUCAAGAGAACAGGCCGGGCAAAUAAAUGGAAACAGGAGCUCGAAGAAGUCUACAACGGAAAGGGGGACCUAUGUUUCCAAAAUGGAUAACAAAAACAUGCAUGCUAUAUUUUCAUAACACUAACCUGGUAGGAAAGGUGUGACAAAAGCCAAAUUAGUUCCAUGUUUUUGGGAACUGCUGAGGUACAAAAUCUCAGGUCAACAGAACUACGGAAAAGGAUAGGAACUGUGAACCAGCACUGCUUCAUUCCUCGAGGUAAGAUGAUUUCUUUUAAACCAGCACUUCAAUGAAUUCAAUUUCUUUCCUAAAAGGCACAAAUUCAAUGAAUUCAAUUUCUUGCCCCAAAGAUAUAAUUUCUUAUGAUGUCAAUUAUACACAAUACAUAUAGAUUUUCUUUUUGUAUUCUAACAUUAUAAGAACAAAUAAAAUAAUUAAAUAGGCAAAAGGAAGACCCUUACUUAGAGCUCCAACUAUAUGUGCUCAUAAUAAGUCAGAUCUCAUACUGGACAUUCCUCCUACAAUCCCAACGAUAACAAAUCAACAUUUUGGUUUGGCCAAACAUAUAAAUUCAUUCAUUUGGAAAUUAGUUCAAUCCAAGUAUUUAAAUUCACAAUUUACAUACAUAUUUGUACAAACUUAGUACAUUUCAACCAUACACGAAGUCAGUCCAUAAUUACUCAUAUUUAUGGCUAUCAGAGCAACCAACAUUCAUGCACUUUCUGAGCUGUUGUAACAGUCCAUAUUCUUACACAUUAGGGUUUCCAUAGUAGCCCUUAUUUUCCAAGUGUUAGGAAUGUCAUAAUAAACAUAAAUUGCUCUCAUUUGGGCUCUCAUAACAGCCCAAACUUCCAUGAAUUUAAGCUGCCUUAAUAGCCCGUUUUCCUACACACCAACGCUACCAUAACAACCUUUAUUUUUCGCAUGUUUAAGCAGUCAUAACAGCCCUAAAUCCCAUUGUUUAGGUUAUCAUUACAACCCAAAUUUCAAAAAUUUUAGGCUGUUGCGAUAACCUGUUCUUCCAUAUAUUAGGCUAAAUAAUAAACCUUUGUUUACAUGCUCGAGCUAUUGUAAUAGUUUUUUGCAUACACAUGACUGUUAUAACAUCCCUUAUACACGCCUAAUAAUUCACACAACACACUCCUAAAAUCUAACAAAAUUCGAAGUCCUUUUUAUCCCCCAAUCUUUGCCAAAACAUUCAACUCAACAACUCACACACACAUUUAUAUUUCAAACACAACAACUUAUUUCGUCAAAUAUAUGGUGGACAUUCUAUUAAACCCUUUACAUAAAAUUUAAACAUUCUUAACCUUCCAAAAAUACACUACACAUAACUAAAAUAAUAUUAAGCAUUCAAAUCAUCACAUUAUUACAAAACAACCUAAACUAAAUUCAAGUUUUCAAAGUUUUCCCUCCAUUAUUGCAAUUAUCAAUUUUAAUCAUUUUUAGCAAAUAAUACCUCCAAUACUAAUAAUCCCAAUUUUAACAUUUAAAAUCAAAUUAAGCAUGUAAUUAUUAUCAUAUUACAAGAACAAAUGAAAAUCCUUAUAAUUUUGAAUCACCCUUCAAUAUUCAAGAACUAGUAUUUUGACCAUAAUAACUAAAUUCAAGACAAACUAAUUUAUAAUAUUUCCAAUGUGUGUACUAAUAAGAUAUGAUGCACUUUGGCAAUUUAUCGAUAUAGUUUGCCAAAAAUACUAAUAAUUAACACUACUUAGAAUCUCAAUGGAAAGGUGAUCCAAAACAUAUACCUUCGGUAGAAAAUCAAACACCUUAAUUCCUCGCCUUGUAAACCCAAAAUGAAUGGAGCACAAGAUGGUAGAAAAUGGUUAUCACAUAUAAUGACUGACAUGAAAUGCUUUCAAUUGCAUUAAAUCCAUAGCAUCUCUCUCUAAUCACUUUCUUAUCCCAAAUCCAUUAAUCACCCACAUCCCAUAAACAAUCUCCAUCAUCGCCAUUCAUUUUCUCAUUCUCAAUAAAAUCAGCAGUGCCUCAACACUGCAACCAGCCUCCAACCAUCGGCUAAGAACCCACAGCAACCAUCACUGUUUCUUCCAACUUGCGAUAACACCACCAACGCCUCCAUAACCAGCGACGUUAUCUUUCCUUCAGUUUCAGCUGAGACAGCCCUCAUUACCUUCCCUGCCUGUCGAUAGUGGUAGUGGCGUCGUUCCUUCUCACAUGCACCAACUCCAACAGUCCUCUAACUCGUGCCAGUGAUAGUAACUCUCAGUCCCGACCACAUUGACCAGUGUUUUCUCUCUCUCAGCCACUCUAAGGGCAAGAAGCCCUAAACAAAGGAAAACGCCCAAAAUCGAUUUGAGCUCUUCACAGUUUCUCUCUCUCUUGCUUGCAGGUUAUUAAUUAGGCGCGUGACAACCAUGUGAUUCGUGUUCAAUGGAACUUAAUUGGCCAUAGCUUAAUAGAUUUUUCUAAUUUGUGUAUUUAAAUUUUGUGUAUAUUGAUAUUUUUGUGUCUUUUUUAUUGUGAAAAAUUCAUAUUUUGAUAUUUGAUAGUAAUGCUAUAAAAAAAAUUAAUAAAACAAAAAUUUAAAAAUAAUAAUAAAAUGACUCAAUAAUCAUUUUGUAAUUAUUAGAGCUUGUGGUAUAUUAAUUUAAGUUGAAUUAACGUGAUCUCAUUAAAAUUCAUUGAAUAAUAAAAACAAUAUUAUGCUCCAUUUUAAAACAAUCAAAAUAACUUAGCCAAACCUCAGUUAUAUUUUUAUCAUUUUUAUAGUUCAAUAUUCAUUUUAGAAACAAUUAAGAUGACAAGUCUCAUUAAUUUUUAUAGGACUUGAUAUCAAAAUAUUAUGAAAAAGAAGUUUUAUUUCCAGGGACCAAUAAUAAUUUUUAUAAAUGACUAAAACGAUAAGUCUCAUUUUUAAAAAGAAACUGGUAUUAAAAUUUUAAAAUCAAAUACGGAUUACGUUUAAUUUUAGUAAUUUUGAUGAAAUUUUUUUAAAAAAACUUAACAUUGAUAUUUUUGAUAAAUUUAUUAUUUUUAGAGACUAAUAUUAUUUUAUAACAUGUUUAAAGAUCAAUGUAAAAUUAUUCACAAAAUAACUGGAAAUUACCAAAUAAAAAUUAAAAAUGAUGAGUAGUAUCGCUCUUCUCUUAAAUAUAAUUAAACUCUUAGCUGAAUAUCUGUAACUUUUUUUUGUGGAAUAAGUCGAUAUAUUGAAAGGGCUAACCAGAAGGUAGCCAAAAACAAGAUACACGAAAGAAAAGCAUAAAAGAAAAGAAAAGAGAAUCACAAAAACAAAAGGCAAAUACAAAAGGAAAGAAAAAGAAAGUCAACAGAUACAUAACCGAAAAAGAACAUCAUGAUUGAAGAAGCUGAUACGUCAUGCUUAAAGCCUUGAUUUGGUGUUUGACCAAUCUAUAAUACCUUCAGGUCCUAUAAUUAAAGUAGUGCUAGUAGCCAUGAAGAACUUAUCAGUAGACUUGAGCCAAUUUGAGAGGCGAUAAAGAAUUAAGGAGAAACUGUCUUCGAAGAUCGCAGCUCCAUCAUUGAAGAUUACCUUGUUCCUCAUAAGCCAUAUACUCCAGCUAACACAGCAAGAAAGCAUAGACCAAGCCUUACGCUGGAAUUUUCCAAAUACUAGGUUAGGCCACUGAUGUAAAAGAUCAUCCACACAGCAGGGAAGGCAACCACUAAUACCCCACCAAUCCAAGAAUUUCAUCCAUAAUUUCCACACUGGUCUACAAUGGAGGAGAAGAUGAUUUGAAGUCUCAAUCUCAUUUUCACAAAAGAUACAAAAGGCUUGAUCAACUGGGGUUAUAUUACGGCAAAGUAAGAAAUCCUUAGUGCAUAAUCUAUUCUGAACAACUAGCCAAAGAAAAGAUUGAACCUUAGGAGGGACCCCUUUUUACCAUAUCGAAGCAUUAAAAGUUCUAAGCCCUAGAUUCACAAUUCUGUCAAUAAGUAAAGAACAAGUUUUAACUGUAUAACCUUCAUCUGUUGAAGAGGACCAAACUUUCUUAUAUGAAGUUGUUGCCUUUAGCCGAAAGCUUUCUAGAGAUGAGAGAAGGUAGACAACUUGCUCAGUUUCAAAGAGACAAUUGUCUCCUCCAAGCUAACUCCCACUUCCAUUCCCCUUGCUCCCAAUUUCCCAAAUCAGCAAUUGUGGCAUUCAGUUUAGUGGAAAGAAUAUAGAGUCGUGGGUAAAUGACUUUCAAUGGAGAGCUAUUAAACCAAACAUCAGACCAAAACCGAGUUAGAGAGCCAUUUCCCACUACAAAUCUGUAAUUAUUGGCUAAAGCUGAAGAGACAAAGUCUGUUGAAGUCAUAAGGGAUGAGAUGUCCCUCCAGAUACAAGACAAUCUUCUACUAAACAUAGGGAAACCAUUUUCAAACACCGGCUUGAAUUUGUUGAAUACCAUCUUCUUCCAUAGCUCAUUAGCAGGAAGAAAGAGCCUUCAAAUCCACUUGAAAAGCAUUGCUUUAUUCUUGGCUAUUAAUGACCCAAUCCCAAGGCCACCCCUAUCCUUAUCCCUAACAACCAUACUCCAUUGAACUUUGCAAAUUUUUCUCAUUUUGACAGUUCCCGAACAUAAGAACUUGCGUUGGAUGGAAGUAAGUAAGCGACACACACCUUUUGGCAUAAGGAAGAUGGACAUGAAGUACAAAGGAAAGGAGUUCAACACACUUUUGAUAAGGCAAAUGCGACCGGUCAUGCUCAACACUCUCCCUUUCCACGAAGUUAGUUUCUUUCAAAACUUAUCAAUGACGGGUUUCCAUGUUGAAAUCCUUCUAGGAUUAGACCCUAAAGGCAUCCCCAGGUAGUUACAUGGAAGAGAAUCAUGCCUGCAGAAAACUGAUUUUGCAAACUCAUCCAAGCAAGAGUAAUCAACAUUGAUUCCUAUAAGAGAACUCUUAAAAAAAUUAAUGUGCAAGCCUUAGCAUAGAGCAAACCACCUUUAGACUCUUUUAACUGACUGGAGGGCAUGCAAACUAGCUGGCAUAAAGACAAGUGUGUCAUCUGCAUAUUGUAGGUGACUUAAGAAGUUAUUAGAGCCAAAAUCAAUACCCCGAAAGAUGUUUGAGGUUACCGCACGUUGAAAGAGAACAGAUAGACCUUCAACAGCAAUAUUAAAAAGAAAAGGAGAUAGGGGAUCACCUUUGUCGCACGUGUGCUGCGUCGCGGCGAUCGUCCUCUACACUCAAUGUGUGUGUGUAUCUGGAAAAUAUGGGGAGACAAGGAAUUCUUGUCUCUUAUCAGUGUAAAAUGAAAUGGGAGUCGCCACCUAGUAUUUUGGUCACUAGGAACCCUAACUGGUCUUAGAGAUCGGGUACGGAGACUGGUUGCGUAAAGGGAAGGUAUUAGCACCCCAAAUACGCCCUACCUAAGGUAAGCUGCAUUGUUUUAUUUGUCUGAUCAAAAUCUAAGGUUUGGUAGCGUUUUCUAAUUGUUGGUCCUGUCUGUCUAAGAUUCAAGAAAAGCCCUCCUCAAUAAGGAGGUUCUUAUCUUAUGGGGUAAGACCUAACCGUUCUAAUGUCUAUAAAAGAACUAUUGUUUUAAUAUCAGGAAUACGCUUUACGUGUAAAUUCAUAAUCCUUGAUAUAGAAAGAAACAAAAUAAUUUUUUUUGGAUUUUUUUGAAAUAUUGGCCAAAUUCUCGUGACUUUAAUAAACUGGUUAUUAAAGCCAAAAUGCAUGACAAAACAUUUUUUUUUUGAAGUUUUCUUUGUUGUAUGAAAAUAGAAUAUGAGUUUUUUAGCUUUGAGAGAUUUGGCCGUAUGCAUGAAAACAAAAACAUGUUUUUUUUUUAAUGUUUUGACGAAAAUCGGCUAUUUUAAUACCGAAUGUUGUAUUUUUAGCAACAUAAAAAUACUGCUUGAUAUUAAUCAAAAUGACAUAAAAAAUACACGGGAAAAUUGCAAGAUUCCAAAAAAUAUUUUUGAAUUUUUUUUUAAAAAAAAACCGGGCUGGACCUGGCCCAACCAUUCUGGGCUGGGCCUAACCCGGCCCAUAUACUGUGGGCUGGACUCAGCCCAGCCGCGUGGACUGGGCUGAUGAUCCAACCCAUGAAAUAUAAUUAGCUGGUUACUGUGCUCCUGCACAGUAACCAGUUAAUUAUUUUGCUUGCUUGCAGAAACGUGCACAGUGCACGUUCUGCAUGCAAGCAAAGAAACGAAGAAACAGAGAUGAGGGGAGGGUGUUACCUGCAACAGAAGACUUUGGGUAGAUGAGCUGGCGGUGGAGAGGUGACGGUGGUGGCAGCAACGGCAGACGGUGGUUGCUGCCAGUGGCUGCUUCUUCUUCUUCCUGCUGCCUUCUGCUUUCUCUGCCCCUCUCCUGUGUUUAUUCUGUUCUUUGUUGUUCUUGGUCUGGCGGUGGUGGAAGGUGGUCGGGGAAGCGGCUGGGAGGAGAAAUGACGAUGAUUCUAGGCGGUGGCACGACUGUCUUUUCUUCUCCUCCUCUGUGUAGAGCUCGCGAUCUCUGUUUUUUCUUCCCUCUCUGUUCUUUCCUGUUUCUCUUCUCCCUCUCUGGUUCUGCUGGCAUUGGCAGCGCUGAUGGUGGCGGGAUGGUGGGGCUGCUGGUAGUGGCUGGGAGGAACGAUGGAGGCGCUGGUGGAGGUGCAAUGGUGGCUCUUCUCUUCCCUCUUCUGUCUUGCUCUUUCCCUCUCCUCUGUAUCUCCAAAAACAAUCCCACGUUUGGUUUCCCUUUCCCUUCUCUUUCUGUUCUCCUCUUCCUCUUUUUCCUCCCCUUUUCUUCCCUGUUUCUGCAGCUUGCUUCCCUCUGCUCUCCAAAAAAAUUUUCCUCCCUCUUCUUGUCUUCCCCUCUCUGUUCGUCUACCCUUCUCUCUUUCUCUAAAAUUUUGCCCCCCGGUUCGUUCCUCUCUUUCUCAAAAAAAUUGUCCCCCCACCCUAUGGUUCUGUUCUCUCCCCAGUAUUUAUAGGCAGCCGGGGGAGAGGUUCACCAUACCCUGUCCAAGUGCAGGGCAUGGUGGCGUGGGAGUUGCAGGGUAUGGUUGUGUAGGUGUGGGUAUGGGUCAUGCGGGAUUUUUGGGCAAGUGGGGUGGAGAGAGAGAGGGGAAGAAUAGCGGGAAAAUUUUUCAAAACUCUCCUUCUCCCCUGUCUCUGCAUUUGCAGGGGAGAAGAAGCUGCACAGUGCCGUUCAAAACGGCACCGUGCAGUUUUUUUUUUUUUUUUUGAAGAAAAGGAAAAAAAAAUUGGGAGUGACCCAAAAUUGGGUUAUGACAACCUUGCCUAAUACCUCGCCCCACUUUGAACUCUGGGGAAGGAGAGUCAUUAACUAAGACUGAAAACUGACUAGUAAACAAGCAGGAGGAAAUCCACCCUCUCCAUUUAGCACCAAAACCCAUGUAAGUCAUCACCUCAUCAAUGUAAUCCCAUCAAUGUAAUCCCAUAGAACUGAAUCAAAAGCUUUUUGGAAAUCAACCUUGAAUAUGAGACCUGAUCAAAAGCUACAGGACCCAUCUCUACUUUCUUCCCAAUUGGAGCUUUAUACAGAUUGUAAAAAUAAUCAACAGUAGCGGAUUUGAUUUCUGGUAAAGAUCGAAGUUUAGCCCCCUUAUGAUUGAUCAUCAUAAUUUGAGAUUUGGCUUUUCUGAAGUUAGCUAUCAAAUGAAAAAACCUAGUAUUACGAUCCCCUAGCUUGCACGACAACUAUCUAGAUCUCUACCUCCACUUGCAUUCAACUCUAUUACUGUAGGUCCAUUUAUCCCUUAUAAGAGAUUCAAGCUUGAGGUGAUCUGAGGGACAUAGAGGACCAGCCUCCUGUUUUCUCUCUAGAUCAUCAAUUUGGGAAAUCACAACCUGAAGCUUGUGCUCCUGAUCACCAAAAUCAUCUUUGUUCCAUCGCCGAAGUUGAGCUGCUACAAAGCUAAGCUUCUUAAUAAAUCCGAAGCGUCCUGGGAGUGCAGUACACCCGUCAAACCAAAAGCCUCUAAUAAUGUUUUUGAAGUUAGGAAAUUGAAGCCAACAGUCCAAAAAUUUAAAAGGAAGAUAACCAUUCUCUAGGAGGCAAUCAGACACAAGCAAGGGGCAAUGGUCUGACAUUUCUCUAGGUAAAUGAUGGAGCAUUACAUUGGAGAACUGAAGAAGAAAGGAUUCAUCUGAGAAAGCAUGGUCUAGUUUGCUCAUCAAGCAAUUCCUGAACCAAGUGAAGUAACCUCCAACCAGUUGAUACUCAAUAAGGUGACAAGAAUCCAGAAAAUUCCUAAAAGCUGAAAAGCCCCUGAUAUGAAGAUAACCAUUGCUUCUAUCAGUCUAAUUUAAAGUCUCAUUAAAAUCUCCCACCAUCAACCAUGGAAUAGGGAAGGCAUGUCUGAGGACACACAAGUUCUUCCAAAGAUCCCAUUUUUCUAACAAAGAACAAGGGGCAUAAACACCAACAACAGCACAGAUAAAACCACUUUGCAUAUGCUGACCGUACAGACCAAUCCACCCAUAACCAUAUUCAACAGAAGAAACCUGAAAUUUUGUAUCAUCCCAAAGAGCAAUCAUACCCCCUCUACUUCCUUCAGCCUCAUUACAAGCCCAGUUAACAUUGUUAUUGUUCCAAACAUGAAAAAUGAAAGAGUCUGUGCAAGUCUUAAUUUUUGUUUCUAGAAGAAAGCACACAUCAAUAUUAUGAAUAUCAAUAAGCCUACCUAAAACCCAUAAUUUUCCAGUCCUACCCAGUCCACAUAAGUUCCUUCAGAAAUUAGUGGUUAUUCCUUCGGUAAUCUCUCUUUUAUUCCCUUCCGCCUUGUAGUGAUGUGUCUGGUAGCUGUUAGAAUCCUGGUGUUUUGUUUAAGAAUAAACUCCUAUCUUUCAGGAGCCAGCAAUUCAUUUUUGUUAGAGUUGAUUAAGUCAAAUAAUGACUUAGUCAUUAUUUCUGUUUCUGUUACCACAGUCUUCGGGAUAUGAAGAUGUGGGUUGUUUUCUUUGAUUCCAAAUUGUAAUGGCUAUUUAAGCCAAAGGCAUUCUAUUAAAUAAGACGACUACACAAUUAAAGGUGUGCAAGAUCAUUGGUAUUAUAACAGUAGCGGCAUCCAAUAUCUUUUUUUUUAUUAAUGUGGGUGUCCGGACCAGCCUGCACGUACCUCGACUAAUCUCACGGACCCUAAAGUUUACGACCAUGUAAUCCUCCAGUAACUCUGAGGUUUGUGGAACUCGAACUGGUGACCUCUAGAGAACAGACUCAGGACCUGACCAGUUGAAAUACACCUCUCAAGUUGGCAUCCAAUACUUUUUAUAGCUAGCAAUAGCCAGCAAACGGGGUUGUCAGUCCAAUCAUAAACUAUAGAUUAUUUUCCACUCUAGUCUUUUUCCCAGUGGCUCCAAAACACCUGCUUUUUCUUUUCAUGCUAUGUUAUUAUUCCUCGAUAUAAUAUCAUGAUAUAAAAAAUAUUCAUGAACCAAAAGCACCUACUAAAUGCUCUACUGUAUGCUUUUAUUAUUUGUUGAUCUUAUCAUGGCUCAACUUUGAUGGAGUUUUACAUAUGUCUAUGUUUACACUUUUCUUUUAGAAUUAUGUGUUCUUUUUUAAUUAUGAUCAUAUGUUGGUUAUAAUGAAUUCAUGUAUCUCUACUUGAUGAACCAAGUUUUUAUCAGUAUAUUUUUAUUAAAAAAAUAUCAGAUCAAGAAGAUUUAUGAGUAUAAGUUUUCUAUAACACAACCAUGCCUUAGUGAAGGCGCCCAACUACGAUUGGACUUGAUAGUGUGCUAAGCCCCGAACAUGCUGGGCCUGCAGUGUGCCAAGCCCUGGGCAUGCUAAAAGAAUGAUCAUCCUCUAUGGAUACGCCCAAGGGAAUGACCAGACCCUCCUCCCUUGGACACGCCUAGAAAAAUAACCCAACCUCUCUUGGACUCACCCAAGGGAUAAAUCUAGCCUCUUUUAAGCUCACCAAAGGAAUGACCCAUCUCCCUUGGAUCUCGCCUAGAGAAAGAGCUCAACCUCCAUGACCUCAGUUACAUUUGACGUCUUGGACUCUAAUUUCCCUACACUUUUUAGGUAUAUAAAAGUCCUCUAGAGGCCCACUAUAUUUCCAUCAAACAUUAAUACAAAUGUAAGUGAUAUUUAUCUCUUAUUAAAUACCAUUAGGGUAAAAUUAUACUUCAUACUCUUCUAUUUACAAAAGGACAAGACUCAUGGGCUAUAAAUACACCAUGAGACUUUCAGAACAAAGGUACAUAAUCUUCAUUCUCUAUUCCAUAUAUAUUUUCAAAGUAUCUAUCUCUAGAAUAUUAUUGUCUUUUUAAAAAGAUACUUAUUUAAGUAUCAGAGAGUCCUCACCUUCACCAAAUGAUACCUUUUGCAAGUAUUAGUCACAAGUCAUCUUAGCCUACAAAGCAUCAAAUAUAAGUUAUCAACUAUUUUAUUUAGGGAGAAUGAAUGAGAUUUCUAGAAUUAAUUAAUUAACCGAAUCUUUAAUCCAAAAACCUUGAAAUUUUUAGGGUACUUGAAUUUCUGAAACAUCAUCAAUUCCUAUUACCGUCUUAAGAAUAUUAAUUUUUUCUGCCUUUAAGGAUUUAUUUUUCCUUUUGCCUCGUUCCAAUGCUAUUGCGUGUCUUGCAGCUACCCACGCGAUCACAUGGCUAGUUAUAAUUAAAAUUCAAAUUGAACAGAAAAAUAAUUAGGUGUCAAGUAUUUUUAUAUACAUGGAGAAAAGAUUUGAAAUAACUUCGAGAUAGUAUCGACACCUUUGCAUCUAACUAGAAGUUCAUAUAAUAUUGGAAAAAUAAUAAAAUCUCUCCUUAAUUUCAAUAUCUCAAUAAUAACCCGUUUAUUUUAUAAAGAUAAAGUCGCAUUAUCACUAUGAAUUAAGGACCAUUUCUUUCUUGAUUUUGACCCCUCGAAUGCAACAAUUAAAAUAUAAUUCUUUAUAAUAAAUGAUAUUUUGAGAUUAAUUUGUUGAUGAAUUAAGAUUAAAUAUAUUUUUUGCACUAUGAUUCAAGGACCAUUUCUUUUUUAAUCUCAGGACCAGAUUUUGACCCCUCAAAAGCAACAAUUAAAAUAUCAUUUUUUUUAUAUAAUAAAUGUUAUUUUCAGAUUAAUUUGUUUAUCAAUUAAGAUUAAAUAGUUUUUUUUUUAAUGGCCUUACAUAUGCAUUGUAUAUCUUCAUAUUGAUUUGAUAUGUUAAAAAUAAUAUUUUUUUCAAUGUUGGUUUCAAAAUGUCGUUGAUAAAUGGAUGGAACCUCGUAUAAGGAGACACGAGGUAUUUGUACUAAGGAGUGUGUUUGAUACUGAAAGAAAAUAUAUCUCCUUCCAAUGUCUCAAUAAUUACCCAUCUAUAGUUUUAAGAAUUUGUUUGCCAAUGUGAUGAUUAGCCGUGUGUUCAUAAAAAAAAUUGAUUUAUUUUAUUUAAAAUUAACUUUUUAAUUGUUUUAAUUUAUUAAUAUUAAAAAUAAAUUAUUUUAAUAUAUUUUCAAAUAAAACACUUCUAGCUGUUACAUACUUUAUUUGUUAAAUAUACAUCGUAAUCAUGAUAGUAUCUUAUAUUUGUUAUUUAAUUGGGACAUCAUCAAAUGUGAUUACGAGGAUAAUAGUAACUGAUUAACCGUCCAACAUUUGAUUCUAGUUUUUCCUUUCCAGACAAUUAGAUACGACAAAAGAUAUCAAAUUACCUUAAUUGGGUUUUUUUAAAAAAAAAAAAUUAUUAUGAUGGAAUGAUGUGAGGGGUUGCUCUCCAUUACUUGCCUGUCUAGCAAAACCUGGAUUGCUAAUAGUCAAUCUCGUAAAAGGACAACGCCUCACCAUUAUUUGGUUGCCCCCUUGUCUAGAUUGGGUAGACCGACCUAACCAUUAAGUAUUAAAUAUUAAAUAUUAUUAAAUUAUAUAUAUAUAUAUAUAUAUAUAUAAAGCUUAAAGGAGUGAGGUGAGAAAACGCUAAUUCGCCGCUCCUAUUAAAUGCUCAUUUCAUACUGUGGUUGCGGCAGCAGUAGGAAGCAAACACUAAAUUAAAAUGUUUGGUUAAUACUAAUCAUAUUUUUUUAACAUGGAUCCUACUUAAAAACUGAGAUCAAACCUCAGUUUAUAAGAAGCAAUUUUUAUCUGCUUAUCCUUCUCUUCUGCAUGGAGAGUGUCUCAACUGUUUACGUGAACAGUUGAGACUGUCUCUACUGUGCCAGCUGGAUCAGGUCCAGUCCAAAGUUAAAUACAUUGAACCGUGUCUGACCUAGUAAAAUAAAAUAAAAAUUAAAUUUUAUUUUUAAUUAUGUUUUAUUCGAAAAACUAGUAUUUCACAUUAUUCAAUGACAUUAUAUAAAUUAGAAGAAGAUCGCUUAAUGAUGUAACAUUUGUAAAAUUUGAUCACAACCCCAAUUUUAUUCCUGAUGAUAUUUUACCUGAUGUUGUUGCGCGCUUACAAAACUAAUAAAACUGUAGUCCUUGUCAGAUGUAUUUCAUACGUGAUGGAAUGGUAAAUAGUUUAAUAAAAUAAUAAAAAAUAUUUUAUAUUAAGUAUUAUUCAUUUCAUGAUGUAAUAGCAGCAGUUAAAUCUAUAAUAUUUAAAUUAAAAACCAUCAAUAUUAAUAUUUUUUUUAAAUUAAGUUUUAACCUCAAUUUGAAAAGCAUUCUUAACGAAACACAUUAAACUACUUUUUGUUCAACCUCAAUUUCAACCACAGUUUUAACCAAACAUAUAUAAAUAUCAAACCAACUUCAACCAAAAAUACUUUUAUAAAAACAAUUUUUUUCAAACCACAGCCACAACAGCUACCACAAUACCAAACACACUUGCUCAAAAUUACAAUAGUAAUCAAUUUUUCUUUCAUUUUGACUUUUUUUUUCCUAUGGUUAUUGAAUUUUUCUUUUUUAAUUUAGUCCUUAUAUGAUGUGUUUAAGGGAAUUUAUAUAAUUUAUUUUAAUUUGUCUUUUAUAUGGUUAUCGAGGUAUUAAAAAAAUAUCUCAGCAUCGGGUUGGUAUCAAAAAAAUAUUUCAUCAUCACAGUAUGAUCUAUUUUUAAAAACGUUUAGUUAAAUAAAAAAUGAUUUAAAAAAAACUAGGUUAUUAAAUUUUAUGGAAUCAAUAACCUGGUUUGCGAGAUUGACGAGGUAACCCCAGUUGCCCUGAUUUGUUGUUUUAGCAGGGUACCCUUAUUUCUAAUUAAAGUAUAAAGCUAAAUGACUGUUUGGGAAUGCGGUAAAAACCGCAUUUUUCAAAAAAUCAAAUUUUUUUACUUAAAAUUAAUUUUAUUUUUUUAUGUUUUUGAAUUAUUUUGAAGUGUUGAUGUUAAAAAUAAUUUUUAAAAAAUAUUAUUUUGAUGUAUUUUCAAGCAAAAAACACUUUGAAAAUCAAACCGCUACCACACUUUCAAACGCCCCUUAAAAAACGUGGGGAAAAUAAUGUUUCCCCACACUCAUUAGCAUUGUGGAUUCAAUAGCAAUCCACUGUGGAUUUUUUUUUUUUUUGCUUUGGUUAUUGAUUUUUUUUUAUUAAGUCCUUAUAUGAUGGGUUAAUGGGAUUUAGAGUUGAUAAUUUAUUUUAAUUUGUCUUUUAUAUGGUUAUUGUGGUAUCAUAAAAAUAUCAUAGCAUUAUAGUAUGGUCUAUUUUUUAAAAAAAAAGUUAAAUAAAAAAUGAUUUCGAAAAAAACUAGGUUAUUAAACUUCGUGUAGUCAAUGACCUAGUUUGCGAGUUUGACGAGUUAACCCUGGUUGAUCACAGGUUUAACGGGGUACCUUUCUUUCUUUCUUUGUUUUUUUUUCAAUUGAACUCGAUUAUGUGAUUGUGUAUUUUUUUUAUCAUAUAGUUAAAAAAAUAGUUUUAAAAGAAAAACAUGUUAUUAAAUUUUAGAAAGUCCAUGGUCUUGUUCACGGAUGUGGCGAGUUUAACUUUUUUUUCUUUAUUCAUUUUUUUAAUUUCAUCCUUUGAUAUUGGGCUGAUUGAGUAUUGAUCUUCAUAAUGUGUUUCAUUUUGCUUUCUAUGAGGUUAUCGUAGUCUUAAAAAAAAUCUUAGUAUUGGUUUGACACUCGAUUUUUCAAUUGUCUAUUUUUUAUCAUAUAGUUAAAUAGAUAAUAGUUUCAGAAAAAAACAAAUUAUUAAUUUCAAUGGAGUCCAUUGCCCGGUUUGUGGGUUUUACAUGUUGACCUGGAUUACCUGAUUCAUGGGUUUAGCGGGUUUACCCAUUAAACCUGAUAUGCUAUUUUUUUAGUUUUUGAUCCUUGAAUUUUUCUAAUUGUUUUUUUUUAUUUCACUCUUCUGCAAUAUUGGAUUGGUUGGGAAAUAUAAUUUGUGGUUUAUUUUUUUCUACUUUUUAUAGGGUUAUUAUGAUCUCAAAUAAAUGUUUUUUUUAGGGUUGAUACUCGAUUUUGCAAGCAUUUAAUUUUAUAAUAAAAUUAAAUAAAAAUAAUAUAUAAAUAAAAAAGUUAUUAAACUCGUUGAAGUCCAUGACCCAGGUCAAAGAAUAACCGAGGUUGAUCCAAUCUGGCAUCGUAUCAAUAUUAAAAAAAAUUGUCAUCUUAAAAUUUUUUUUUAAAAGUUUAUAUCAUGUUUUUACUGAUCAUCAAAGUUAUAUUUUGACCCAUUAAAUUGAAUGAUUCACUUUAGGUCAGCUCCCACAUAAUUUAAUUCAAAAUACGAGUUAGGAAACGAGCCAAGUUGGUAGGUUUUAAGAUCAAACUGUUUGAUUGAAUUUAAUAAUAUUAUUAAAAAAAUCUACAUACUCUUAACAUGUUUUUUAAGCUUAAAAAAAGAAUAAUCCAACUCGAGCAAUGUGAGGAUGAAUGUACAAGCAUCUAUUAUAAUAUGUUAACAAAAGCUAAUCAAAUAAGGAAAAACACAAAUUUAUUUACAUUGUUUAUUAAAAUAGUUUAAUGGAACAAAUUGUAAAUACAUAAUCAUUUGUGUAGUUCACCUUAACAAAAAAAUGAUGUCUUUUCCCUUAAAAAUAUAAAUAAUGAAAUGUCUUACUGCUGGGAGUAUUAAUGUUUUUUCUUAGAAUCCAUUAGUAAUUAAAGAAUCUACCAGGAAUAUAUGUAUAUAUUUUUUUUUCUUUUAAGAAUAGUAAAAUGAUUCAAUUCCUCUCAAAGUAAAAAAUUUUAAAAUUGAUAAACAAUGGUAUUUAUAUCUUUUCACUUUUUAAAAUAAUAAAAUGACAACUUUACCCUUGAAAUAAAAAAAAGAAAACAUGCAUUCAAGGGUCUUUUAAUCUUUUCACUACAAUCUUUUUUUUAUUAAUAGUUUCAUGAAGGACAAUUUGAUCUUUUUGCAUAGAUUAAAUAUUAUUUCAAUAGAAAAAGGUGUUGGUGGGUGAAGAGCAAGCGUCAAUGCUUCGGAGGCACCCGUGAACUUUGAGUGGGGCGUGCAGCACCUCCCAAUGACUAGAAAUGAUUUUCUAUUGUGUUGUUAGAAGCAUCGUCGUGUUCUCUUCCUGUUAGAGUCACGCAUAUAGGCUGUGGUAGGACGAUUUUUUACUAGUGGGGCUUUUUUUUUCUUUCUCCUCCCUAAAAAAUUAUAACUUGAUCCUUUUUGUUGUUAAUAUUUCAAAUUUUGUUCUUAUUUUUCUGAUUUUUAAUUUUUAAUAUUGGUCUUUUUUUCGAAGUCUUAUUUAUUUUUAAUUUCAUCCUUCAAUUUCAAUUUAUCAUAAUUUUUUCCUCCAACUUGGUCCUCUUUAUUUGGAUUUUUUUAGGCCCUUUAUUUUCUCUAAUUAUAGUUUUAUUUUUGUCAUUAGAACUGUUGUUACCCAUUUUUGGGUUCCCCACAAAAAAUGAAAAAAAUACAAAAAAAAUACACAUAAAAAAAUAUAUAUUCGGAAGGGAUAAAAAAAUAGGAGUGAGAAAAGGAUGCUGGAACUACCAUAAAAUGGCUAGGAAUUGGUUGAGGAGGUUCAGAAAUACAAGAAUUGAAAUUUGACAGUAAGAACCCUGUUGAUAAGAAAAAUUUAAUUUGAGGAAGAAAAGUUCAAAAUCAGAUGUUUAUGGACUCAAUUAAAUUUUAUCCAAGGUUUAAUUGAAUUUAUGGAGGGUUUAAUUGCAAAAACAUUGAUUUUUUAAGUCAAUUUAGGCUUUUAUUGGAAGAAAUUAAAGUUAUGAGGUCCAAUUAUAAUUUUGAAGAGUUGAUUUGGUCAAAUCAGGGGCUUAAUUGCAUAAUUAUUGAAGUUUGAUGGCCAAUUAAGGACUUAAUUGAAACAAUCCAAAACCAAGGACUAAAUCGGAAAAGGCGCUAAAAUCAAGGGGUCUAAUUAUAAUUUAUCCGGGGGGCUUGAUUACAAAAAAUACAAAACUCCAAUGACCAAAUCGAAAAUAUACAUUUUGAGUAAGAAAACGGUGCCGUUUCAUAGGCACUAUUCAUUCUCUUCUUAAGGAGCCGUUUCAACAGACAGAGGAUUUGAUUCAGCAACAAAAGCCGCAGAUUGCUUCAGUUAUGGGGAGCGUUUCACAGCUAAUGCACGCCGGCCGUUACUAUUUUCACGCAAUAACGCAUGCAUCCUCUGGCUAUAAAAGCCAGAGGAGAGACCGAGCAGAGAGGACCCCGGGGGGGAAGUGGAGAAAUGGAGAAAGCAUAAGGAAAACAGAGGGAGGGAAAAAGAUUUAAAAAUACACAGAAAACAAAAAAACAGAGAGAGGGAAGAAUAGAGGAAGAACUGAAGAAGAGAGAGCUUCGACCUAUCAACGUCACCAUCGUCUUCGUCCCCAAGCAACAGCUUCACCUCCAGCUGCACCAGAGAAACAGAGGAGGAAAGCAACGAGACAGCAGGAAAAAGGGGAAGAAGAGAAAGAAAGGAGAGAAACAGAGAGAGUGAACGUGGGUGGAGAAGAGAAAAAGAAAAAAACAGAGGGAGAGGGGAAGCAGCACGAGAGGGAGACAGAAACGAGCAGAAGGAAAGAAUGUAAGCAUAGGAAAUCGUAGAGACCAAACCAGUGCUGUCAUCGUCUUCAUCAGAACCAGUUACUACUGAUCGUGAGCCAAAGUUUUAGCACCGUCAGUUCCGUUGGUCUCAGUUACCAGGUAAGCUUCUCUUACUUUGCAUUUUGAUUACAGCAUACAGUUUUGUUUUCAUUGUUGUUGUUUACUGUUCAAGUGAAUUAUAAUUCACUUGAACAGUAAAAAGGGGAUUGCAUGCGUGAUUUCUUGCCCAGCCGGGUCACUGGUUUGGGCCAGCGACCCGGCUAGGCCUGCUGGGUCCAGCUCAGCCACAUGGGCCGGGCUGGGCCCAGCUCGAAAAAAAAUUUCAAAAAUUAUUUCAAAAAAAUUUGUGAUUUUCCGCAAAUGUUUUACUUCAUUUUGAUCAAUAUUUCUUUGUAUUUUUAUACUGUAAAGAUGCAAAUCCGGUAUUGAAAUACCUGGUUUUCGCCAAAAUAUUGAAAAAAACAAAAAAAUAUUUUUAUGCAUAUGGCCAAGUCUCUCUAAAAACAAAUUAAAAAAAAUCAUAUUUUAUCUUCAUAAAAAAAAAAAGGUUUUAGCAUGCAUUUUGGCUUUAAUAACCAGUUUAUUAAAGUCACGAGAACUGACCAAUAUUUUAAAAAUUCCAUAAAAAUUAUUUUGUUUUUUCUUUUAAUAUCUGGGGUUAUGACCUUAUACGUAAGACGUAUUCCGGAUAUAAAAUUCUUUUAUUGACGUUAGAACAGUUAGGUUUUACCCGAUAAGACAAGGACCUCCUUACCGAGGAGGACUUUUCUUAAAAUAUAGACGGACCAACAACUAGAAAACAUGACAAGACCUUAGAUUUUAUCAGACAAUAAAACAAUGCAGCCUACCUUAGGUAGGACGUAUUUGGGGUGCUAAUACCUUCCCUUUACGCAACCAGUCCCCGUACCCGAUCUCUGAGACCAGUUAGGGUUCCUAGUGACCAAAAUACUAGGUGGCGACUCUCAUUCCAUUUUUCCACUAAUAAAAGAUAAGAAUUUCUUGUCUCCCCACAUUUGCCACAUUAAUACCAAAUUUUAAGGGUGAAUGUUUUCGCCGCGACGCCGCACACGUGCGACAAGAACCGUUCCCCCUUCCUUUGACACAAGUGUGCACUGGUUUUUAUAGCCAGUGCACCUCCUAAUGCAAGCCCACUUUCCUUUUUUAUUUUUUAUUUUUUCUUUUUUUUUAUAAAGCAUUAGAUAGAAAAUAAAAUCAGUAUUAAAAUGACCCAUUUUGGCCGCUGAAAAUCAAUUAUAGCUCCAGAAAAAUGUUUUGACCACCAAAAAAUGUUUUGACUGUCAAAUUAUGAAUUUGACCCUAGGAAAUCAUUUUGUUUUACCAAUUUUCACAAGGUAAAUUCGAUUUUGACCGGAAAAUUAUGGUUUUGGCCAAUUUUGAUGGAAAGUCAGUUUUAACCAAGAAAUGACGGGUUUGACCUCAACAACCUUAGUUGGACCAAAAAAUGAUGAUUUUGACCAAAAAAGACGAGUUUGAUCUUGGGAACUUCAUUUUGGGCUAGAAAAAUCAUUUUUCGUCUUUUUUUUAUUUUCUUUCAGAUGGUGGAUUAUCAGGUUCUUCUAGGUCAUAUACUUAAAGUACAUAUACUUCUCUCCCUUUGGGGGAACCAAUUGGUGUCUGGUUUGCCUUUUUUUAUCAAUAAUAUUUCAUUUGCAUUUUUUAAUUUCAGUCAAUCAACACACACACACUAGGGUAAAGUCACCACUUGGUUCUUAUAAUUUAUUAAAAAUUAAUUUUUAUUUUGCAUUAUUUUCUUUAAUGUUUAGAAAAAUUAUGGAUGAUAUCUUCAACAAAAUUCCUCGGCAAUCUAUAUAUUGAACUGAUUUGGGAUCAGGAUAAUGAAGUUAGCAAGCGGAUACUUCAAUUGAUCAAUAAUGUCAUCCAAACAAGAAAUAAUAUAGCCAUGGUUAGAAUCCAUAAUGUUGGUGUAAAAUAUCUUGGCUAAGUAGAAGCAGUUAUUUUGAAUAAUAUAUAUUUUGAAUAAUAUAUAAUAAUAUAGCCAUAUAUUUUUAACCUUUCCUCAUAUCCGCAUCUCUUCGAAGCAUCAUAAUAUAUAAUUUAAGAAAUUGUUUUUUUUAAUUAAUUUUGAUUUAAAAAAUUUCUUUUUUGAUAGAAUUAAUUUCAAUUAAUUUCCUUAUGCAGAUAUGAUUUUUCAUUUAGAAAAUUAAUAUGGACAAAAUUACAGUAAAGGUUUGCAUAUUACGAAAAAGAAAACCUAAUCCAAAUUAUUAAUUACAUCUAAACUACUUGACUCCCAGUAUAAAGCUUCAUUUUCUUUUUCAAUGCCAAAAAGGGUGCAGGCAAUUGUUAAUGGUUUUUGGUCAUCAAGAAGAAAAUUAACUGUGAAUUAUAAAUUCAAUAAAAUAAAUUAAGAAUUAUAUAUACUAAUAAAUGAUAAAACAUUUAUUGAUUUUAAUAAAAAAUUGAGUUAGGAAGUUAAGAUGAAGAUACAAGUUCUUAGAAAAAAAUUGUUAAAUAUUUGUUUAAGUUUAAAAUCGGGUCUCUAAAGUUUUAAUUGAUUUGAAUCAAUAAAAUUAAAUUUUAUUUUGCCCAAUUGAACAUUAAUUUAAUGUCAAAAUCUAUUUUUAACAUCAUAAGAGCCUAUAUAAAACUAAUCAAAAUAAAAAAUCAAAUUCAAUUUCAAGUUAACUUAAUGUGAAAUAAUUAAAUUGAAAAUAAAAGAAGUCAAGUGACAAAAAAGAAAACAAAGAAAACAUUGUAGUAACUAUUGUAACCCACAAUAAAUUGUGUUUUUUUUUUAAUGUUGUUUUUUCCUGUUUUUUUCUUAUAAAUAUUUUAGUCAAAACUCAUUGCCCUCACAUGUUCAUGAAUUAAAAUAACGUUCCAUAGUUUAUUGAGGAUAAAUUUUGUAAAAUAGUUGUUAAAUAGGAAGCAAAAGGACAAAUAAAACAAAUGAUACAAAUGAAAAAAAAUAAGUUUGAAGCAUCCAAUACAACAAAGAUGCAAAUAAAAAAACAUGACGUGAUAUAAAAGUUUGAAGAAACCAAUGAAAAAAAAAAAAACUUAGAUGGCUGACUGUUACAUGAACAUUGUUCCCACCUCCAAGUUUUUUAAUUUAUAGUAUAAUAAACUUUCAUAUUACGACAGAGAAAACCUAAUCCAAAUUAUUUACAUUUAAAUACACCUGAAUUGAGAUUUCUGUUCCUCAUUUUUUCAACAAAUUAAAAACCUAGUAUCCUAAAUAUGAGCCAGGAAACUCCUUUUCAGCUUCCUUCAAUAGAUUUCUGCAAGUCAGAUCUAAAGCCAGGAACUUCAGAGUGGGACUUGGUGAAAUCUCAAGUUUGGAAGGCAAUUUCAGAGCAUGGUUGCUUCAAGGCUUUGUUUGAAAAAAUACCUCUAAAUGUCGAGAAUUCAUUUCUUGGUGAAGUGAAAGAGCUCUUUGACUUACCCCUUCAGACCAAAAGGCAACAUGUUUCUGAAAUACCCUUUUAUAGCUAUUUUGGGAAAUCAACACCUCCGCUGCAAUAUGAAAGCUUCGGUAUUGAGGAUCCCAGCAUCUUCGAAAACUGCAACAACUUCACCAAUGUCUUGUGGCCACAUGGAAACCCAGAUUUUAGGUACGUGAGAACAUUCUUUUCAACUUUUGGAGCUCAAACUGCAAUAAUAUGCAAUUCAAUCAUUAUUAUUUUCAUAUGGGCUAACGAAGGUGAAACAGAACUUGAUCCAACAGCAUAUCGGUUAGGUUGAGUGAUCAUAAAUCACUCGAAAAAAGUAUUGCUAUAUAUCCCAACUUGUCUUGUAAUUAAUCCACAAUCUUCCUUCUGUUUUCUGCAGAGAAAAUAUAAACUAUUUUUCAACAAAAGUAUCAGAAUUUGAGAAACUCAUAAGGAGGAUGAUUUUGGAGAGCUUGAGUCUUGGAAAUUACUUGGAUGAACACAUGAGCUCGACUACUUGUGUUCUUAGAGUAAUGAAAUAUCAAGUGCCUCAAAUUACUGAACCAACGUAUACCUCAAAGCCCCACACAGAUAAGAACUUAAUUACUAUAUUGUAUCAAAAUCAAGUUGAUGGGCUGGAGGUACAAACCAAACAUGGUGAGUGGAUUGGUGUGGAACUCUCACAUGAUCACUCUUUUGUCAUCUUGAUUGGGGAAUCCUUUAGAGUAAGUCACUGUUCUUUCUGCAUUCCAUAAGUUUAUUUGAUAAUA